GGCGGGGACACCGUGUUCCCUCUACUGCCGAAGAAACAUUAAAGAUGGAGUCACAAAGGAGGACAAGGAGAUCCAGCUGCUACCCUGCAGAAGUUCGAAUGUUCUUGAUGCAUAAGAAAAAAACAUUGUUUUAGUUUACAGUUCUGUUCCAGAUAUUCAAAUAAAGGUAGGACAUUUCAGACUCACUGA